rnacentral:rRNA from 1 species
GUGAGGAAUUUUCCGCAAUGGGCGAAAGCCUGACGGAGCAAUGCCGCGUGAAGGAUGAAGGCCUAUGGGUUGUAAACUUCUUUUCUCAGAAAAGAAUUAUGACGGUAUCUGAGGAAUAAGCAUCGGCUAACUCUGUGCCAGCAGCCGCGGUAAGACAGAGGAUGCAAGCGUUAUCCGGAAUGAUUGGGCGUAAAGCGUCUGUAGGUUGUUUAAAAAGGAUUCUGUCAAAGAUUAGGGCUUAACCCUAGAUAGGCAGAAUAAACUUUUAAGCUAGAGUUUGGUAGAGGCAGAGGGAAUUCCCGGUGGAGCGGUGAAAUGCGUAGAUAUCGGGAGGAACACCAAAGGCGAAGGCACUCUGCUGGGCCAAUACUAACACUGAGAGACGAAAGCGAGGGGAGCAAAUGGGAUUAGAUACCCUAGUAGUCC